rnacentral:rRNA from 1 species
AGCUUGUUUUGUAAGUUUCUUGAGAAAUCUGAUAUCUCAAGUAUCACGCGUGCAGGAAUUACUGCAUUGCUCGAGAUCGGUAGACGCAAGAAGUAUGUUUUGAGUAGUGGUAAAAUAUGUUAAUUUUUGACAGACUUACAAUGGCGAAGGCACUUUACGAGUACGAAUCCGACAGUGAGGGAUGAAGGCUAGGGGCGCAAAAGGGAUUAGAUACCCCUGUAGUCCUAGCAGUAAACACUGCUCACUAAACAUUAGUACCUCCUCGAGAGGUAUUAGUGCUGUAGGGAAGCUGAAGAGUGAGCUACCUGGGAAGUAUAGUCGCAAGACCGAAACUUAAAGGAAUUGGCGGGGAGGCACUACAAUGGGUGACGCGUGCGGUUCAAUUAGACUCUACACCGUGAAUCUCACCAGGACCGACAGCAGAAUGAAGGUCAGUCUGAAGGGCUUACCUGACACGCUGAGAGGUGGUGCAUGGCCA